rnacentral:ribozyme from 13 species
GAAAAUCAGGAAUACAAGGACACAGACUGUGCCGUCUGUUUUUUUUUUUUCCGAUUCUCUCUCUCUUCCUAUUUAUCUACAGUUGAUUUUCCCAAAUUUGACAAGAA